rnacentral:rRNA from 1 species
CGUAGGGUGCGAGCGUUAAUCGGAAUUACUGGGCGUAAAGCGUGCGCAGGCGGUUUUGUAAGACAGGCGUGAAAUCCCCGGGCUCAACCUGGGAACUGCGCUUGUGACUGCAAGGCUAGAGUACGGCAGAGGGGGGUGGAAUUCCACGUGUAGCAGUGAAAUGCGUAGAGAUGUGGAGGAACACCAAUGGCGAAGACAGCCCCCUGGGUCGAUACUGACGCUCAUGCACGAAAGCGUGGGUAGCAAACAGGAUUAGAUACCCUGGUAGUCCACGCCCUAAACGAUGUCAACUAGGUGUUGGGUGGGUAAACCAUUAGUACCGGAGCUAACGCGUGAAGUUGACCGCCUGGGGAGUACGGCCGCAAGGUU